rnacentral:tRNA from 1 species
UUCCUGGUAGCUCAGCUGGUAAAGAAUCUGCCUGCAAUGCAGGAGGUUCCAGUUCGAUUCCUGACUUGGGAA